GGCAGAUGUUGGGGGUGAAUCAAUCAGAACAUUUAGCAUUUACAUUUUAAUGGUUUUUAGUACAAUAACGCCAAAUAGACAGUGCUGUAGCCUACAGCUAUGGAACUGCCAUCAGGGGUCUACAAAGCCACUGAGGACAGAGAGACCACCUUGAACACAAAGUUACUACUGGUGAGAGUCACUUUUGAAGGAGUGGACCACACUAUCAGGUUAGUUAGUUCUUGUUGAAAAGAUACACAUUGUUGUGCUCAAGGUUCUAUUCACUCCAAU
rnacentral:lncRNA from 8 species